rnacentral:rRNA from 1 species
CCUACGGGAGGCAGCAGUGAGGAAUAUUGGUCAAUGGACGGAAGUCUGAACCAGCCAAGUCGCGUGAAGGAAGACGGUUCUAUGGAUUGUAAACUUCUUUUGCCUGAGGGUAAAGUGACCUACGUGUAGGUUAUUGCAGGUAUCAGGUGAAUAAGCAUCGGCUAACUCCGUGCCAGCAGCCGCGGUAAUACGGAGGAUGCGAGCGUUAUCCGGAUUUAUUGGGUUUAAAGGGUGCGUAGGCGGGAUGUUAAGCCAGCGGUGAAAGUUUGCGGCUCAACCGUAAAAUUGCCGUUGAAACUGGCGUUCUUGAGUGUAAACGAGGUUAGCGGAAUGUGACGUGUAGCGGUGAAAUGCUUAGAUAUGUCACAGAACCCCGAUUGCGAAGGCAGCUAACCAGCAUACAACUGACGCUGAGGCACGAAAGCGUGGGUAUCAAACAGGAUUAGAUACCCCUGUAGUC